rnacentral:rRNA from 1 species
AUGCACAAGGCUUAUGACCGUAUGGAAUGGUGUUUUCUUGAAGGUAUCAUGCUGAAAAUGGGAUUUGAUGUGAGAUGGGUACAUCUAAUAAUGGCAUGCGUUAAAUCUGUGACUUAUUCAGUGAGGUUUAAUUCACUGGUAACAGAAAGAUUUAUUCCAUCUCGAGGCCUACGACAAGGCGACCCACCUAGCCCAUAUCUAUUCCUAUUGGUGGCAGAGGUUUUAUCUAUCUUACUUUUCGGAUGCAGAAGAGAGAGGAAUGCUAGAAGGGGUGAAGGUUUGCCGAGAUGCACCCUCGGUUUCACAUCUUCUAUUUGCCGAUAA